UACGAAGGGGGCUAGCGUUGCUCGGAAUCACUGGGCGUAAAGGGUGCGUAGGCGGGUCUUUAAGUCAGGGGUGAAAUCCUGGAGCUCAACUCCAGAACUGCCUUUGAUACUGGCGAUCUUGAGUCCGGGAGAGGUGAGUGGAACUGCGAGUGUAGAGGUGAAAUUCGUAGAUAUUCGCAAGAACACCAGUGGCGAAGGCGGCUCACUGGCCCGGUACUGACGCUGACGGUGCGAAAGCGUGGGGAGCAAACAGG
rnacentral:rRNA from 1 species